UGCGCCCUACGGGAGGCAGCAGUAGGGAAUCUUCCACAAUGGGCGAAGGCCUGAUGGAGCAACGCCGCGUGGGUGAAGAAGGUCUUCGGAUCGUAAAACCCUGUAGUUAGAGAAGAAAGUGCGUGAGAGUAACUGUUCACGUUUCGACGGUAUCUAACCAGAAAGCCACGGCUAACUACGUGCCAGCAGCCGCGGUAAUACGUAGGUGGCAAGCGUUAUCCGGAUUUAUUGGGCGUAAAGGGAACGUAGGCGGUCUUUUAAGUCUGAUGUGAAAGCCUUCGGCUUAACCGGAGUAGUGCAUUGGG
rnacentral:rRNA from 1 species